AUCUUUGAUUUCACAACCAGCUAAGGCAUGUGUCUGUACACAUGUUUACGGUUCUGGUGGAAAUCUUUGGAUUCUGAUGAUAUUGAAAGUCUGUGCUUUGCUGUUAUCUAUCUGUCUUCUCCUUCCUAAGAGAACCUCAUCUUCCAGGGAACUAAACUUGUCUUACUGGUUUGGCCCUCAUGAAAACUAAAGAGGAAACUUGCUGCAACAUCAUUAAAAAGCCCAGGCAGGCCAUGGCUGAACUCUGGCAGUGUGGGAGCAAGAGCGGCUGGGACUCUCUGCUUUCCUUGUCAUCACCACAUAAAAACAAGGGAGCACUCGAGGGAGGUCCAGUGGGUACCAGGAAGGGCCUCUUUGCUAAAACAAAAAGAAGGGGAGUGAAGGCAGUCAAGGCACCACUCACGGAACUCAUCACAGAAGUCACAGUGCACAUUUGGUGCCUACCAUAAAAGGAACUUGGGCAAACCAGGCUUACAAACUCAAUCAACACCCAAUAAUCGACACAAAAUGAAUCUGCAUGGCAGAU
ensembl:lncRNA novel transcript, antisense to SLC25A21